UCUUGAUCUCAACUCGAGAAAGUAUUGGUUGCCUGAAUCUUCAAUUAUUUCAUCUUCCUUUGGUACGAGACCAUUUGCAAUCCAUAGAUGAAUAACUUGUUCUUUCCUAAAUGGAUAAUCUUUAGGAAAUAUUGCACAAAAGGAAAAACAUCGCUUUAAAUGUGCGGGAAGAUCAUUGUAGCUCAACAUCAACACUGGUAAUAUGUCAUUGUGUGGCAGCUCCCAUAUUUCACUUCUCAAAAUACGUUUCCACUCUUCAACCUCUGAUUUGGAGCGUAACAUGCCAGCGAGCGUCUUCAGAGCUAAGGGCAGUCCUUUGCACUUAGCUGCAAUUUGUUUUCCGA